ensembl:lincRNA
AUGAGUGUUUUCUUUUCAGGUCCUAUAGCCCUGGAAUCCACCAGAUACAGGGAAGUGAUCAAGAGUCACAAGAAGCUAGCUGGCCGAAGUGACCAGAACACUGUCGGUGCCUGGGAGGAAGUCCUGACAGGUUUGAAUUUGUAUUGGAGAACUUCUGGGAGAGGAACGCUAUCAGCCUUCACAGGAUUACAGCAGUGAAGGAAGCGCUGAUCACGAGGUGAGGAGAGGAGGGGGUGUGCUUGUGAGGGAAGAGUGAGCAGAAAAGGGUGAGGGGAAGUAGGGACACCAUCGAGGAGCAGGAAGGGAGGAGUACGGUCAAGGCAGCAGACCCAGGGUGGGUGAAAAGAGCUGAGGAGAGCAGAGACGUCCUUCAUGAAUUCAUGUGUCAAUGUUUCAGCACUCAGACCUCUGGUUAGGAGUUGUGACUGCCGGUGGAGUUGGGACAGUGACAAUGCCUUUUGGGCGGGAAACUAAAUGAGGUGAGGAGGAUUGGGGCUUGGCAGCAUCUGUGUGGAAAGAUUUUUGGUAUAAAAGAAUGCAAAGUCUGUGGGACUGGAGCACAACCUUGACUUGCUUUGAUUUGUUAGGAUUGGACCGUCUCAUCCGAUCUUAGGAGGGCAAAGGAGUCCCACUGAUUUUUUUUUUUUUUUUUUUUUUUUUUGUGGCUUUUGCAAUAGCAUCUUGCUAUGUAGUUCAGGUUGGUCUUGAAUGCACUGUGUAGCCCAUGUGGGCCUUGAACUCACAGUGAUCCUCCUGCCUCUGACUCCUGAGUGCUGCUGGGAUCACAGGCCUGUGCCACUGCGCCUGCUCCACUUUUAUCUGGUCAACAAAAUGUGGCCUCAAUCUGGGGGUGUAGCUCCGUCCAGCAUGUGAGGCUCUAGGUUCCAUCCUCAGUACUCACCUCUCUCCAAAACAAAUGACAAAUAAAACAUGUCACCUCUCUAGAAGGUUCUAGAAGGUGAAUAUCUUUUGCUGAAGGGAUUCCCAUUAAGGCUCCACUGGGAGAGUUUCUGCUUUGGAUAGGAAGCUGAAUUAUAUGGGUUUUAUGCCUAGUUUGGUAUCAGAUUCACUUGGAGAUUGGUUUUAAAAGAUGGGGCUUAGAAUUCUAGAAAAUAGGAACCAGAGAUUUAAAUUAAAUUAAAUUAAAAUUUAAUUGAAAAAUAAAAUUUCCAGGGACAGGUAUAUAGCACAGAGGUGAGUACACUUUCCUAACUUGGUCAAGAACCUUGGGUUCAGCCACAGCACCAAAACAGAACAAGUGUCCUUGAUGCUGCUGGUGCAACUUAAAAUACAAACUAGCACUUAGAAACCACCAAAUUAGAUGACUUUUAAGGCUUACUUCAGCUCAGAGCUGUUUUUGAUGGCAAAAAAUGCCAGCUCCUCCAGGGAGUCAAUUUUAUCUUCUCAGCUGGAGUUUUAAAAACUUGUUUUUAUAGCUUUAAAAGGAAUAUAAGUUUCUUAUUAAAAAUUCAAAUAAAAUAGAAAUAUAGACUGCAUAUCCCUAUAAAUAAAUAUUGUCAAAAUUUGAUAUAUAUUAUUGCAAAUUUUAUCAUGUAUAUCUAUAUCCACACAUAAAAGUGAUAAUCCUGUGGUGUGCAAAUAUGAUCAUAAUUUAAAUAUGUUUGCUUUGUACAUUUGAUGAUUCAUCUUGACAAUACAUAAAGGUCUUUCUAUAUCAGUACAUAUAGAGCACCUCAUUUUUCUAGGUGCCUGGGUUUCACUGUAUGGCUGUAUCAUAAUAUAAUAGACAUUUUAAUUUUCUAGUUUUUACUAUUAUAACCACGACUGCAAUAAACAUCAUUAAAGGAUAUUUCUUGAUGUUGAUUAUAAAGUAUAUAUUUGAUAUAAAUUUCUAGGUUUGGAAUUUUGAAGAUAUUUUCAUAAGGCUCUACCAAUUUAUACUUAUGCUAAUAGUUGUAUCAAAAAGUUCCUGUUUUCCCAUUCUUGUAGCCAUUACUAUAUGAUCAAUUUUUCAAAUUUAAAAUAAUCAGAUGCACAGUGCAUUGCUAUUGUCUUACUUUUAAUUUUUUUGAUUCCUGCUGCAAAUUAUAAACAUCAUCAUUAGUUUUCUUCUAUGAAUUAUCUGUUAGAUUGAAAUUUCUCAUUGAUUUAUAUGGGCUUUUCAUUGUGGUUCUUAAUCCUUAGUGUAAUUCUCUAUAGUGUGUAUUUUUCUAUUUAAUUAAAUA